rnacentral:lncRNA from 1 species
GUAGUACAUUCUUGUAGCGCAAAUUAAAUUUGUGCCGGAAUGUCUUACAAAUAUGUUUUUUUAUUUAUUAAUACACCGUGUACAAAAAAAAAAGAAAAAUUACAAACUUGAGUGUAAAACAAAAGUUAGAAUUGAUUGACAAAUUAGAAUCGUCAGUAUCCGUCGCACGUGUUUGUGAGGAAUAUUGUGUGAAGAAACAAACUGUCAGAUUUUCGCAAAGCAAAAGAUAAGUUAAAAAAUGUUUUAAUGUGUGAUGCGGAUGCUACAAAUAAGCCAAGAAAACAUGAAAAUGGCACAAGAACCUUCACUGGAAGAUGCUGUGUUGAAAUGACAAGAAGAAAUGAAGAUGCAGCCACGAUUCCCGUUGGACGAAGUUGUAUGAGCUUCAUAGAGCCUUUCCUCUGUGAAACCCUGUGAGGGUGUUGGGAGCGAAGCAGUGAGA